ACGCUCGACACCUACGGGAGGCAGCAGUGGGGAAUAUUGGGCAAUGGAGGCAACUCUGACCCAGCAACGCCGCGUGAAUGAUGAAGGUCUUCGGAUUGUAAAGUUCUGUGACGGGGGACGAACACAAUGACGGUACCCCGAUAGCAAGCCACGGCUAACUACGUGCCAACAGCCGCGGUAAUCUGAGCGGGCUGGCAAGGC
rnacentral:rRNA from 1 species